rnacentral:rRNA from 1 species
CCUACGGGUGGCAGCAGUGGGGAAUAUUGGACAAUGGGCGAAAGCCUGAUCCAGCCAUGCCGCGUGUGUGAAGAAGGCCUUCGGGUUGUAAAGCACUUUCAGUGGGGAAGAAAGCCUUGGGGCUAAUACCCUCGAGGAAGGACAUCACCCACAGAAGAAGCACCGGCUAACUCCGUGCCAGCAGCCGCGGUAAUACGGAGGGUGCGAGCGUUAAUCGGAAUUACUGGGCGUAAAGCGCGCGUAGGCGGUCUGAUAAGCCGGUUGUGAAAGCCCAGGGCUCAACCUGGGAACGGCAUCCGGAACUGUCAGGCUAGAGUGCAGGAGAGGAAGGUAGAAUUCCCGGUGUAGCGGUGAAAUGCGUAGAGAUCGGGAGGAAUACCAGUGGCGAAGGCGGCCUUCUGGACUGACACUGACGCUGAGGUGCGAAAGCGUGGGUAGCAAACAGGAUUAGAUACCCCAGUAGUC